rnacentral:rRNA from 1 species
UACGUAGGCAGCAAGCGUUGUUCGGAGUUACUGGGCGUAAAGGGUGUGUAGGCGGUUAUUUAAGUUUGGUGUGAAAUCUCCCGGCUCAACCGGGAGGGUGCGCCGAAUACUGAAUGACUUGGAGUGCGGGAGAGGAAAGUGGAAUUCCUGGUGUAGCGGUGAAAUGCGUAGAUAUCUGGAGGAACACCGGUGGCGAAGGCGGCAUCCUGGACCGGGAUUGACACUGAGGCGCGAAAGCCAGGGGAGCAAACGGG